UACGAAGGGGGCAAGCGUUGUUCGGAAUUAUUGGGCGUAAAGAGCUCGUAGGCGGUUUGUCGCGUCUGCCGUGAAAGUCCGGGGCUCAACUCCGGAUCUGCGGUGGGUACGGGCAGACUAGAGUGAUGUAGGGGAGACUGGAAUUCCUGGUGUAGCGGUGAAAUGCGCAGAUAUCAGGAGGAACACCGAUGGCGAAGGCAGGUCUCUGGGCCAUUACUGACACUGAGAAGCGAAAGCAUGGGGAGCGAACAGG
rnacentral:rRNA from 1 species